rnacentral:rRNA from 1 species
UACGGGAGGCAGCAGUGGGGAAUAUUGCACAAUGGGCGAAAGCCUGAUGCAGCUAUGCCGCGUGUAUGAAGAAGGCCUUAGGGUUGUAAAGUACUUUCAUCGGGGAGGAAAAAACAAAACUAAUAAUUUUAUUUCUUGACGUUACCCGAAAAAGAAGCACCGGCUAACUCCGUGCCAGCAGCCGCGGUAAUACGGAGGGUGCUAGCGUUAAUCAGAAUUACUGGGCGUAAAGAGCACGUAGGUGGUUUUUUAAGUCAGAUGUGAAAUCCCUGGGCUUAACCUAGGAACUGCAUUUUGAAACUGAAAUACUAGAGUAUCGUAGAGGGAGGUAGAAUUCUAGGUGUAGCGGUGAAAUGCGUAGAUAUCUGGAGGAAUACCUGUGGCGAAAGCGGCCUCCUAAACGAAUACUGACACUGAGGUGCGAAAGCGUGGGGAGCCAAACAGGGAUUAGAUACC